rnacentral:rRNA from 1 species
AUUGAACGCUGGCGGCAUGCCUUACACAUGCAAGUCGAACGGUAACGCGGGGCAACCUGGCGACGAGUGGCGAACGGGUGAGUAACGCAUCGGAACGUGCCCAGUAGUGGGGGAUAGCCCGGCGAAAGCCGGAUUAAUACCGCAUACGACCUACGGGUGAAAGGGGGGGAUCGCAAGACCUCUCGCUAUUGGAGCGGCCGAUGUCCGAUUAGGUAGUUGGGGGGGUAAAGGCCUACCAAGCGGACGAUCUGUAGCUGGUCUGAGAGGACGACCAGCCACACUGGGACUGAGACACGGCCCAGACUCCUACGGGAGGCAGCAGUGGGGAAUUUUGGACAAUGGGCGAAAGCCUGAUCCAGCCAUGCCGCGUGCGGGAAGAAGGCCUUCGGGUUGUAAACCGCUUUUGUCAGGGAAGAAAUCUUCUGGGUUAAUACCUCGGGAGGAUGACGGUACCUGAAGAAUAAGCACCGGCUAACUAUGUGCCAGCAGCCACCGUAA